rnacentral:rRNA from 1 species
GACGGAAGGUGCAAGCGUUGCUCGGAAUCACUGGGCGUAAAGAGCGUGUAGGCGGUGCUGUAAGUCAACCGUGAAAGCUCCCGGCUAAACUGGGAGAGGUCGGAUGAGACUGCAGCGCUAGUGGGUCGUAGAGGAAUGUGGAAUUCCGGGUGUAGUGGUGAAAUGCGUAGAUAUCUGGAGGAACACCGGUGGCGAAGGCGGCAUCCUGGACCGGUAUUGACGCUGAGGCGCGAAAGCUAGGGGAGCAAACGGG